rnacentral:rRNA from 1 species
GACGAACGCUGGCGGCGUGCUUAACACAUGCAAGUCGAACGGAGUGGCGAACGGGUGAGUAACACGUGGGUGAUCUGCCUUGCACUUCGGGAUAAGCUUGGGAAACUGGGUCUAAUACCGGAUAGUGCAAGAUGAGCUCGCGGCCUAUUGGCUUGUUGGUGGGGUAAUGGCCUACCAAGGCGUCGACGGGUAGCCGGCCUGAGAGGGUGUACGGCCACAAUGGGACUGAGAUACGGACCAGAGUCGUACAGGAGGCAGCGGUGGGGAGUAUUGCACAGUGGGGGGAAGCGUGAUGCAGAGACGCCGGGUGGGGGAUGAAGGCCUUCUGGUUGUGAACUCCUUUCGACAGGGACGCGGUACCUGUAGAAGAAGCACCGGCUAACUACGUGCCAGCAGCCGCGGUAAUUC